UGAGGCAGGAGAAUGGCGGGAACCCGGGAGGCGGAGCUCGCAGUGAGCCGAGACCGCGCCAUCGCACUCCAGCCUGGGCGACAGAGCGAGACUCCGUCGCAAAAAAAAAAAAAAAAGAAAAAAAGAAAAAAAAGAAAAGAGCUGCAGGGCCAGCCAGGACUAGCUCCACUACCAGGAGAUACUCCUGUGUACUCGCUCUGCGUCCACGGAAACCUCGCAUGAGCAGAUGCCGCCGGGCUAGUGAACCGCAGGGGGGAGCCAGGCCUGGCCUGGCCCUCACGCACCAGGCAGAGGAAAGCACUGCGUCUUCAAGGGCAACUCACCCUUCCCGGAAGAGGGACCAAAAUGGCAAUAAGCAGCUUUGCGUAGAAGGCACAGUGACAUUAAAAUGCAGCCUCGUGCCCAUCUACAAAGUCCUCACUUUCUGCCCGUUUGCGUUCGUGAGCACAAAGAUAUUUUACUCCCUUCUCAGAGCCGAAUGCAUUGAAAGUUCACAGCUUGGAUGGAAUAAAAAGGUAGUUACUGGGGUGUCUGAGGAUUUGCUUUUGGGGAGAGGAUUUUGAGUUCGGCUCGCUGCUCUGGGAUGCCAUUAUGAUGCUGCAGCUCCUUCUGCGUGCUUGAAGCCAACAUCUCCAGCGUGGAAAAACACAAGCUCCAUUAUGCGGGGGUGGAGGGGUUAAGCUGCAGAGACUUUGCUCCCCAAAACUGUGCUAGGGGCUCAGUUCUGCUGGCUGGUGUGCUUCUGGGAAGCAGCACAGGGCUGCGUACCUGACUCCUUCCUCUGUGUGUGUGCUGCUCCUUCCUUACUGUCAUCAUUUGUUCCCACAGAAUAAAUACCUUACGCUUUUGUUAAGCUUACAUUUAAUUAAAAUGUACAGAAUUUGUGCAGUAAACCCGA
rnacentral:lncRNA from 10 species